rnacentral:rRNA from 1 species
AGUGAACGCUGGCGGUAGGCCUAACACAUGCAAGUCGAACGGCAGCACAGUAAGAGCUUGCUCUUACGGGUGGCGAGUGGCGGACGGGUGAGGAAUACAUCGGAAUCUACUUUUUCGUGGGGGAUAACGUAGGGAAACUUACGCUAAUACCGCAUACGACCUACGGGUGAAAGCAGGGGAUCUUCGGACCUUGCGCGAUUGAAUGAGACGAUGUCGCAUUAGCUAGUUGGCGGGGUAAAGGCCCACCAAGGCGACGAUCCGUAGCAGGUCUGAGAGGAUGAUCAGCCACACUGGAACUGAGACACGGUCCAGACUCCUACGGGAGGCAGCAGUGGGGAAUAUUGGACAAUGGGCGCAAGCCUGAUCCAGCCAUACCGCGUGAGUGAAGAAGGCCUUCGGGUUGUAAAGCCCUGUUGUUGGGAAAGAAAAGCAGCAGGUUAAUACCCCGCUGUUCUGACGGUACCCAAAGAAUAAGCACCGGCUAACUUCGUG